GACGAACGCUGGCGGCGUGCUUAACACAUGCAAGUCGAACGGAAAGGCCCUGCUUUUGUGGGGUGCUCGAGUGGCGAACGGGUGAGUAACACAUGAGUAACCUGCCCUUGACUUUGGGAUAACUUCAGGAAACUGGGGCUAAUACCGGAUAGGAGCUCCUGCUGCAUGGUGGGGGUUGGAAAGUUUCGGCGGUUGGGGAUGGACUCGCGGCUUAUCAGCUUGUUGGUGGGGUAGUGGCUUACCAAGGCUUUGACGGGUAGCCGGCCUGAGAGGGUGACCGGCCACAUUGGGACUGAGAUACGGCCCAGACUCCUACGGGAGGCAGCAGUGGGGAAUAUUGCACAAUGGGCGGAAGCCUGGUGCAGCAACGCCGCGUGCGGGAUGACGGCCUUCGGGUUGUAAACCGCUUUCGCCUGUGACGAAGCGUGAGUGACGGUAAUGGGUAAAGAAGCACCGGCUAACUACGUG
rnacentral:rRNA from 1 species